rnacentral:tRNA from 1 species
GGAGAAUUAGCUCAGCUGGGAGAGCAUCUGCCUUACAAGCAGAGGGGCGGCGGGUUGGACCCGCCCUUUUCCCCCC